UUCAAUUGUAAGUCAAUAAUUAUACAGUUGCUUCUAAGCAAGCAUUUCCAGUUAUCAUUUCACAUGGUCCACUCUAUCUCCAUCUUUCUUUAUCAUCUAUAGCUUUCCCUUGCAAGAGUUAUCAAGAAUCCAAGCAAAGCAACUAUAUCCCAUGUAUACUGAAAAGACCACGGAUCAGAGGUUCAAGUUUAUGUUAUGGCUCCUAUCACCACCCUCUUCUUCUUCCUCCUAUCUUCUUUUCAUCUUCUGACUGAACCUCAGCUAUUAUCAUUCCAUGUUUUAACAUAUCAAGAACCUCUGUCAAGUCUGGGCUUUUCCCUUCUAGAUGUUCAAACCGUCCUCUGAUAUAUCUGAUUUGCAUCAAUGGAUUAGGUAGGCUUUAAUAUUUCUUUUAAGCUGGGAAGCAAUGGAAUUGGUAAAAGCUUCUUCUUAUUUAUUUUUUUAUUUAUUUGUUUUCUCCUCCUCUGAUAUAUCUGAUUUGCAUCUAUUGAUUAGGUAGGCUUUAGUUUCUUUUGAGCUUGGAAGCAAUGGAAUUGGAACCUUCAUCAAGAUUUGGUUUUGCUCUCAUGGAUGUUCCUACCUUCUUAUGAUCUGAUGGCUUUGUGUGCUGGGACUUCAAGCACUUUACCCCUCAUCUCAGUCUUGCUGCCUCUGCAUGUCAUGUAUCUCUCUCUAUGUUAUUUCGUGUAUCCGUUGUAUGUAUGCCAAAUAGAUUUUGAUUAUGGUGAGAUUUAUGAGCUUCACUAUGAUCAAUGGUUAUGAUAAUGGUUAUAAUGAAAUUUUGUGCUCUAAAUUUUUUUUU